rnacentral:rRNA from 1 species
UACAGAGGUCCCAAGCGUUGUUCGGAUUCACUGGGCGUAAAGGGUGCGUAGGCGGUCGGGUAAGUCUGAUGUGAAAUCUCACAGCUUAACUGUGAAACUGCAUUGGAUACUAUCCGGCUCGAGGAAUGGAGGGGAGACUGGAAUACUUGGUGUAGCAGUGAAAUGCGUAGAUAUCGGGAGGAACACCUGUGGUGUAGACGGCUAUCUAGACGGCCACUGACGCUGAGACACGAAAGCGUGGGUAGCAAACAGG